GAUGAACGCUGGCGGCGUGCCUAAUACAUGCAAGUCGAGCGAACGGACGAGAAGCUUGCUUCUCUGAUGUUAGCGGCGGACGGGUGAGUAACACGUGGAUAACCUACCUAUAAGACUGGGAUAACUUCGGGAAACCGUAGCUAAUACCGGAUAAUAUUUUGAACCGCAUGGUUCAAAAGUGAAAGACGGUCUUGCUGUCACUUAUAGAUGGAUCCGCGCUGCAUUAGCUAGUUGGUAAGGUAACGGCUUACCAAGGCAACGAUGCAUAGCCGACCUGAGAGGGUGAUCGGCCACACUGGAACUGAGACACGGUCCAGACUCCUACGGGAGGCAGCAGUAGGGAAUCUCCGCAAUGGGCGAAAGCCUGACGGAGCAACGCCGCGUGAGUGAUGAAGGUCUUCGGAUCGUAAAACUCUGUUAUUAGGGAAGAACAUAUGUGUAAGUAACUGUGCACAUCUUGACGGUACCUAAUCAGAAAGCCACGGCUAACUACGUG
rnacentral:rRNA from 1 species